UAGGGAAUCUUCGGCAAUGGGGGGAACCCUGACCGAGCAACGCCGCGUGAGUGAAGAAGGAUUUCGGUUCGUAAAACUCUGUUGUUAGAGAAGAACAGCGCAUAGAGUAACUGUUAUGCGUGUGACGGUAUCUAACCAGAAAGGGACGGCUAACUACGUGCCAGCAGCCGCGGUAAUACGUAGGUCCCGAGCGUUGUCCGGAUUUAUUGGGCGUAAAGCGAGCGCAGGCGGUUAGAAAAGUCUGAAGUGAAAGGCAGUGGCUCAACCAUUGUAGGCUUUGGAAACUGUUUAACUUGAGUGCAGAAGGGGAGAGUGGAAUUCCAUGUGUAGCGGUGAAAUGCGUAGAUAUAUGGAGGAACACCGGUGGCGAAAGCGGCUCUCUGGUCUGUAACUGACGCUGAGGCUCGAAAGCGUGGGGAGCGAACAGG
rnacentral:rRNA from 1 species